rnacentral:lncRNA from 1 species
GGGGGGGGUCACACCUCCUGCCGUGGCGUGGACAGAAGACACAGGAUCCUCAGACACCAGAGGACCAGAGGAGGUAGCCAGAGGAACGCAUUCUUGCUGGGGACAGAAGCAUGACCAAAGUGAGAGGAGCCUAGGAUGUCAUAGACCCAUUAACCCAGGCUAACCAGAAACUUGGUAAAGAGUGAAUGUAAUACCAGGUGAGUUGGGUUUUCC